rnacentral:lncRNA from 10 species
GGCCACAACACCCCUGAGUUUACCGGUUUUGGUUUCUUCCUUGUGACCUUCGGCUCCAGGAUGCAGCACAGCUCCUCACUGCACUAUUUAUCAGAAUGUUGCUCUGCAUGCUUGAAAGUUUCCCCAAACAGAGGUACAUAAAAACAAACAGAGGCGAAACACAAAUCCCAUCAGCCCUGGAGGAAAAGGCCCUGAAGCUCUUCCAGUGCAGAGGCCACGCAGAGGACAGGCUCCUACCUGUGCACAUCAGCCACGCCUGGGGCGCCUCCUGGAGUCCAGGCUGCUGGCAAUGGAAUUCAUCAUGUUGCUGAUGUCACUAAUGAUGCGCUGGACACUUGAAGUAAGAGCCCUUUGAAGCUGACGUGCUGCAGGAUAAAACACACUCUUUCUCUGGAAAAGAGAAAGCCAAGAUACUGUGGGGGCACAAGGAACAAUGGAGCCAAUGAAACGGAGGUCAGAGCUGAAGGUUUCUGCUACAAGCAAGCUAUAUACAGGUGUUCAGAUGUGUCCGGAGUUUCUUCCUUCUGGUGGGUUUGCGGUUUCGCUGACUUCAAGAGUGAAGCUGCAGACCUUCGCGUUGAGUGUUACAGCUCUUAAAGGCCGCGCGUCUGGAGUUGUUCGUUCCUCCUGAUGAGUUCGUGGUCUCCCUGGCUUCAGGUGUAAAGCUGCAGACCUUCGCGUUCAGCAAGAAGGCUGUCAGCAGAUACCAGUGCUGUGAUCAUGGACUUCCCAGCCUCCGGAAUCAUGGGAGAAAUAAACUUCUAUUCUUUAUAAAUUACCUAGUCUCAGGUAUUCUUGGAUAGUAACAGAAAACAGACUAAAAUAGUACAUUGGUACUAAGAGUCUCCAGUCUUACUGCAUCAGCAAAGAAUUUGCCUUUGAAGACCAGGAAAACAACAACAUGGAAAUGCAGCCCAGUGCCUGCACCAGACUGGAUCCUUGAUUGUUUUUCGCUAGUUCUUUACUACAUGCCUGCAAUUCUAGAGCUCAAACUUCUAGACCUCAAGUUAUGCAAGUUAAUGAGAGCUAGGCUGAGAGAAUCAGAGGAUAUAGGGGAGAAAUGGAAGGAUGAGAAAAGGAAAUAUUGACAUUGUUAACCCCAAUGCAAAGUCUGGUUUUACAUUUGCUUGGCAGUUGUUUCAUUUUAAGAACACAUUUAGAAAGCUGACUUCAUAAAACUAUUUGUUACCCAUCCUGGUGUCUUGAAUGUAUAAUUUCUUCCCUGCAAUAAAAAAGAUUGGUUGUUGGUGUUACUUGAAAUAAAGGCAAAGAUUUUUUUGUCAAUUUGUACAUAACUACCACUAGCCUUAUCCUCAAAUUUGAGAAAUCAGCAAUCUUAAAGUAUAAUUUGACUAUGAUUGGUCACAAUGAGAGAGGUAGGUAUUCAUCAGAGGGACACAGGUAACCAAAGAGGUAGGUAUUCAUUAGAGGGGCACAGGUGUGCCCCUAUGGCACAAUGCCAAUUGUGGUGCUUUGUCAAGAGCAGAAACCAGGAGCCCCCAAAGGACUCCCCCUACCCACACCAUCCUGGCCACUGUAGAACCCCAUGCCUCCUCCAGAGCUCCCUGCCACCCAACAACUAAAGGUUAAUGAUGGGCACACCUGGGGUCUCCAUGUGUCCAUUCUGAUUGGUCAUUACCUGUUUCCUACUUGUUAUUAAUUAUAUAAACAUCAUGGAUAUCUAUUUAGUACUACAAAGUCAAGUGCAAAGAACAGACAUCUAUAUUUCGGCCUACAGAAAUGAACUUUUGUCUGUUGCCUUUAAAAGAAGUCGAGAUAAGCCUAAUAGAAUCCACAAAGGCAAACUUAGGGACAUUUAAUACUUUCAGUCUGUGUAUUUUAUGGGCUACUCUGGGUAUGUUUGAUAAGGAUUCAGAAGCUUACCACUUGAAUGGGUAUUAUACACAUGGAGAAAACCAUAAUCAUAGGAUUUUUGCACCCACUGACAAAGAUCCUUUAAUAAGCCAAAUAUCCUGCAGCCCUUUUUUAUGGUAUUAUGGCUUUGACAACUAACCUUAAAAAUAUGCAGUAGAUCCAAAAGAAUUAAGGUUGAACCUGUCCACACCAUUUAGAAGAGCAUUGAUGUACUUACAAGAUCUGAAAAAAAUCUACGUCAGGCUUGUACAUGUCCCAGAACAUAAGUAGGGUUUCCAUAAAAUCUAGACAGUAUUCCAGGACAGUCUAGGAUCCCAAUCAGUAACUGUACUUACAGAUUAUGUACUUUGUGAACAUUUUGUAUUGAAAGAGGAAUACAAAUAAGAACUUCUGAUGAGGUAACCAUGGAUCAACCUGGCCACUACUGAAUCAGUGCAUCCUGAAGUCUGAGGAUGUGUCUCCGUGCAGCCCAGGAGAUGCAGCUGGCUCACACCUUCACUGAGUUCAUCCACACUGAUUUGGUCACAUGGAAGGUGAUAGCUGUGGUGUGGGUAGGACACAGUAAGUUAGGAAGAGGUAAGGAUAUUUUUUCCCACUAGGGAGAGUAUAAAUAUAAGGAUACCAUCUUUCCUUCUCCCUCAAGGGUCCAUAUUCCUUAUUCCCAUUGUCUAGCCCACAGCAAACAUUCAACAUUUGUUGAAAACAUAAGUAUUCUUGGAGAUGAAAUGUUAAGUCUUUUUUUCGUACUGCAUGCUGUUUCUACUUCUUGAGAUGAUCUUUUUCUCAUUCCCUUUAUGCCAACUCCUUCUUCUUCUUCAUUAUUUAUUCAUCAAAUAUUUAUUGAGUGCUUAGUGUAAGCCAGGAACUGUGUAAGGAACUGGGAUAGUGCUCUGAACUAGACCUGGCUCAAAUAUCACCACCUCUGGGAAGCUUUCCCUGAGUUUCUUGGGCAGGAGUUGCCCCAUGAUAAUUUGUUAUAAUACUUAUUACAUUCCAUUUUAAUUCGUGGUGUCUGGUUCUUUCCCCAACUCUAAACUGUGGUUUUCUUGAAGGUGAAGAGUGGAUCUUGAUUAUCACUGUAUCCUCAUAGCUGAAAAUGAGUGUACAUAUAGCAACCCAUCAAAACAUUACUGGUGAUUGUGGUACGUUGAUUGCAAAAAUGACCAAGAUUCUUUUUUUUCUUCUUUCCAACUUUUAUUUUAGGUUCAAGGGGUACAUGUGCAGAUUUGUUACAUGCAUAAAAUGCAUGUCAUAGGGGUUUGAUGUAAAGAUAAGUUUGUCACCCAGGUAAUCAGCAUAAUACCCAAUAGG